rnacentral:tRNA from 1 species
GGAAAUGUGCCUGAACAAAAGGGUAACUUUGAUAGAGUUAACAAUAGAGACUACAACCCUCUCAUUUCCU